rnacentral:snRNA from 1 species
AGGCUCACUUCAGCAGCACAUACACUAAAAUUACAACAGCAGAGAUUAGCAUGUCCCUUGCACAAAGAUGACAUGCAAAUUCAUGAAGCAUCUCAUAUUUCA